UACUUUAGAAGCCUGUGGAGCCAGGAAGUGUCUGUCGGCGGGAACUAAUCCUGGUCACAUUACUACACAAAUGUCCCGGUGGCUUCACAUCAGUCCUGCUGGUCUCUGCAAACUUCCAGACGAACCAUUUAUCUCCGUACUUGUCGCUUAGGAUUCUCUCCACGGAGGAAAAAUGUUUGGAAGAUCUGGGAGGAAAUGGAGUGACAUUUUUCUAAGUGUCUUCUGUCCAGAGACAAAGAACUUUCUCUUAGACCUCAUAGGACAGUUGACCUGACAACAUGGAGCAGGUGUAGAAGAAGGAGAAAAUACCCUGAGAACAACUGACCAGGAGAACUGGAAUCAACCAGUUAGAAUGCCUGGAGAAUCCCAGUCUGGUGAGGGAGGUCCUUCCGGGGUGAACAGAACACAGGAAGACUCCAUGGUCCCAGGGAGGUAGAGUGGGAGGCUGCCCAGCCCCCUCCCUCAGCUCCACUCCCUUUUGAAGCCUAAUCAAUAAGAAUGUCACAGAGGCGCUUUUCUAAGAAGGCGAUGAUUUGUGAUUC
ensembl:lincRNA Gm5532 predicted gene 5532